AACCCAUUGACGACGAUCGGGUUUACUGCUUGGUCAAUUUCUCCGUGCAAUUUUGAUCAUCGUCAAUGGGUUACGAAGAUGAUCCGUACCGUGACGAGGAUGGUGAACCAUUGAUGGACUUUGACCACAUACAGUCAGACGGUGAGCAAUCCCCUGAACCGUACAAUCCUGACGAACUAUUAGAUGAGGAUAUUGGUGAUUGGGGUGGGCGACAGCGAUCUCAGACUCCUGUCUAUGAUGCGGAGGAGCCCCAGGCCAGGCCUAGGAAGAGGUUAAUCAAAAAGAGUUUGGCUGGUAAGGAUAGUGUGCCCUCUAAUUUAGUGGAUGAUUAUGACGAUGCGGGGGACUUUACGCCAGACCAGUUUGUGAGGGAGGGUUCGG
rnacentral:misc_RNA from 1 species